GGACCCGCACAAGUAGUGGAGCAUGUGGUUUAAUUCGAAGAUACGCGCAGAACCUUACCAACACUUGACAUGUUCGUCGCGACUCUGAGAGAUUAGAGUUUUCGGUUCGGCCGGACGAAACACAGGUGCUGCAUGGCUGUCGUCAGCUCGUGUCGUGAGAUGUUGGGUUAAGUCCCGCAACGAGCGCAACCCUCACUUUUAGUUGCCAUCAUUUAGUUGGGCACUCUGAAAGAACUGCCAGUGAUAAGCUGGAGGAAGGUGGGGAUGACGUCAAGUCUUCAUGGCCCUUACGUGUUGGGCUACACACGUGCUACAAUGGGUAUCUACAACAGGAAGCCAAGACGGCGACGUC
rnacentral:rRNA from 1 species